rnacentral:misc_RNA from 1 species
GAACUCAGUUCCACAGUGAUACAUUUACUCAUCUUGCCAUUAGAACCGCCUUCUUUUGAAUAAAGUUAACAUUACAAAAGCUUCUAACAUGAACAGGUGUCUGUACAACAAACAGGGUUUAUUCGAGCUGCUGUUAAAAAAAUACCAUUUUAAAAAUGUUGAUUAAAGACCUUAAAAUUUUGGCUAUAAUUUAAAUUUAAUAUAUUUUAG